rnacentral:rRNA from 1 species
GAAGCGGAUGCUAUACAUGCAAGUCGAAGCGGACAGAUGGGAAGCUUGGCUCCCUGGAUGUUAGCGGCGGACGGGUGAGUAACACGUGGGUAACCUGCCUGUAAGACUGGGAUAACUCCGGGAAACCGGGGCUAAUACCGGAUGGUUGUUUGAACCGCAUGGUUCAAACAUAAAAGGUGGCUUCGGCUACCACUUACAGAUGGACCCGCGGCGCAUUAGCUAGUUGGUGAGGUAACGGCUCACCAAGGCAACGAUGCGUAGCCGACCUGAGAGGGUGAUCGGCCACACUGGGACUGAGACACGGCCCAGACUCCUACGGGAGGCAGCAGUAGGGAAUCUUCCGCAAUGGACGAAAGUCUGACGGAGCAACGCCGCGUGAGUGAUGAAGGUUUUCGGAUCGUAAAGCUCUGUUGUUAGGGAAGAACAAGUACCGUUCGAAUAGGGCGGUACCUUGACGGUACCUAACCAGAAAGCCACGGCUAACUACGUGCCAGCAGCCGCGGUAAUACGUAGGUGGCAAGCGUUGUCCGGAAUUAUUGGGCGUAAAGGGCUCGCAGGCGGUUUCUUAAGUCUGAUGUGAAAGCCCCCGGCUCAACCGGGGAGGGUCAUUGGAAACUGGGGAACUUGAGUGCAGAAGAGGAGAGUGGAAUUCCACGUGUAGCGGUGAAAUGCGUAGAGAUGUGGAGGAACACCAGUGGCGAAGGCGACUCUCUGGUCUGUAACUGACGCUGAGGAGCGAAAGCGUGGGGAGCGAACAGGAUUAGAUACCCUGGUAGUCCACGCCGUAAACGAUGAGUGCUAAGUGUUAGGGGGUUUCCGCCCCUUUAGUGCUGCAGCUAACGCAUUAAGCACUCCGCCUGGGGGAGUACGGUCGCAAGACUGAAACUCAAAGGGAAUUGACGGGGGCCCGCACAAGCGGUGGGAGCAUGGUGGCUUAAAUUCGAAGCAACGCGAAGAACCUUACCAGGUCUGACAUCCUCUGACAAUCCUAGAGAUAGGACGUCCCCUUCGGGGGCAGAGUGACAGGUGGUGCAUGGUUGUCGUCAGCUCGUGUCGUGAGAUGUUGGGUUAAGUCCCGCAACGAGCGCAACCCUUGAUCUUAGUUGCCAGCAUUCAGUUGGGCACUCUAAGGUGACUGCCGGUGACAAACCGGAGGAAGGUGGGGAUGACGUCAAAUCAUCAUGCCCCUUAUGACCUGGGCUACACACGUGCUACAAUGGACAGAACAAAGGGCAGCGAAACCGCGAGGUUAAGCCAAUCCCACAAAUCUGUUCUCAGUUCGGAUCGCAGUCUGCAACUCGACUGCGUGAAGCUGGAAUCGCUAGUAAUCGCGGAUCAGCAUGCCGCGGUGAAUACGUUCCCGGGCCUUGUACACACCGCCCGUCACACCACGAGAGUUUGUAACACCCGAAGUCGGUGAGGUAACCUUUUAGGAGCCAGCCGCCGAAGUGACAGAUG